rnacentral:rRNA from 1 species
GACGAACGCUGGCGGCGUGCUUAACACAUGCAAGUCGAACGGUAAGGCCCUUCGGGGUACACGAGUGGCGAACGGGUGAGUAACACGUGGGUGAUCUGCCCUGCACUUCGGGAUAAGCCUGGGAAACUGGGUCUAACACCGGAUAGGACCACUGCCUGCAUGGGUGGUGGUGGAAAGCUUUUGCGGUGGGGGAUGGGCCCGCGGCCUAUCAGCUUGUUGGUGGGGUGAUGGCUUACCAAGGCGACGACGGGUAGCCGGCCUGAGAGGGUGACCGGCCACACUGGGACUGAGAUACGGCCCAGACUCCUACGGGAGGCAGCAGUGGGGAAUAUUGCACAAUGGGCGCAAGCCUGAUGCAGCGACGCCGCGUGAGGGAUGACGGCCUUCGGGUUGUAAACCUCUUUCAGCACCGACGAAGCGCAAGUGACGGUAGGUGCAGAAGAAGGACCGGCCAACUACGUGCCAGCAGCCGCGGUAA